GACGAACGCUGGCGGCGUGCUUAACACAUGCAAGUCGAACGGAAAGGCGCUGCUUUUGCGGGGUGCUCGAGUGGCGAACGGGUGAGUAACACGUGAGUAACCUGCCCUUGACUUUGGGAUAACUUCAGGAAACUGGGGCUAAUACCGGAUAGGAGCUCCUGCUGCAUGGGGGGGGUUGGAAAGUUUCGGCGGUAGGGGAUGGACUCGCGGCUUAUCAGCUUGUUGGUGGGGUAGUGGCUUACCAAGGCUUUGACGGGUAGCCGGCCUGAGAGGGUGACCGGCCACAUUGGUACUGCGAUACGGCCCAGACUCCUACGGGAGGCAGCAGGGGGGAAUAUUGCACAAUGGGCGGAAGCCUGAUGCAGCAACGUCGCGUGCGGGAUGACGGCCUUCGGGUUGUAAACCGAUUUCGCCUGUGACGAAGCGUGAGUGACGGUAAUGGGUAAAGAAGCCCCGGCUAACUACGUG
rnacentral:rRNA from 1 species